rnacentral:rRNA from 1 species
AACGCGAAGAACCUUACCAACCUUUGACAUGUCCAGUAUGGGUCUAGGAGACUAGAUCCUUCAGUUCGGCUGGCUGGAACACAGGUGCUGCAUGGCUGUCGUCAGCUCGUGUCGUGAGAUGUUGGGUUAAGUCCCGCAACGAGCGCAACCCUCAUCUUCAGUUGCCACCGGGUAAGGCCGGGCACUCUGAAGAAACCGCCGGUGACAAGCCGGAGGAAGGCGGGGAUGACGUCAAGUCCUCAUGGCCCUUACAGGUUGGGCUACACACGUACUACAAUGGUGGUGACAGUGGGUUGCGAAGUCGCGAGACGGAGCCAAUCCCCAAAAACCAUCUCAGUUCAGAUUGCACUCUGCAACUCGGGUGCAUGAAGUUGGAAUCGCUAGUAAUCGCAGAUCAGCACGCUGCGGUGAAUACGUUCCCGGGCCUUGUA